CAGUGUUUGGCAGAGGUGUAUGGAGUGAGAGAAGGGAAAGGGUAUUUUCCGAUUCUGUCGUUACUCUCUUCCCUCUCUCAUUCCAUACAUCGUCUGACGAACGUAUC
rfam:Glycine soja cultivar W05 scaffold6692_4, whole genome shotgun sequence.